AUUAGUUAGUAUUAAUUUUUAUUAGGAUUAUUAACUAUUAUUAGAAUUAGUUUUAGGAUUAUUAGGUUUAGUUUUAGUAGGCCCAUUAGGUAUAAACAAAACCUAAUUUAGGAGCAAUAUAAAAAGAGGGACCAAUUCACCAAUGGGGGAUUCACACGACUGACAAUUCCUAAACCUAUUCUCUUCCCAAGGAGGCCAAUUCACACUGUACAUAAUCCCAACGCAGCAGCAAUGCAGGCAACCACCACCACUCCCAGUCGGAAUAUCUUGUGCCACCAUUCGAGUCAGCCAUAACAUUCAGGGUUUUCAUCAAUGAGAGAACAAUGGCGAAGAAGAGCAAGAAAAAUCAUAGUCAGAGCAAUGUUCAGGAAGAAGCUCACGCGAAAUCUCAGGAAGAAGCUCACACAAAAUCUCAGGAAUCGGAACAUUUCAAUGUGACGUUUCACCAUGGUGGGGAGUUCGUGAGGGUGGCUGACGAAUAAAUCAUCUACAGAGGAGGUGUUGAUACAACCAUUACAGGUUGGAAAUUUAUGUGCUUCAAUAGAAGAACGGACAGUUGGUAGAACCGAACUCACCUCACUCAUGGAUGUGGAGAUGAGAUAUGUUUGGCGACAAUCAAAGGAAAGUUCGACUGGAUCAAUAUCAUCACUAUCUGCUGGAUUGGGACCAAGCGAAUAAGUGAGCGGAUGCAUUAAAACUUCUUUGACAUUGGUUUUGGCUCUCAUCACUUAUUUGCUUAUCAUGGUUUCACUUUAUGCAUAAGAGCAGAAGGUGAGAAUAGACACUAAUUGGCAAGAGAAAAAAGCUUUCAUGUUAUUUGUUCAGGUUGCACAUGUUAGAAA